ensembl:lncRNA
CUCCAGGUGAGUUUAUCAUUCCUGCCUUCAGUCAGGAAGAGAACAUGCUGUGGAAUGGUUCAGAUAGGCGGGGCCAAUGCCAAACAAAGAGAAACCCCCAGCAUUCAUCACAAUAUUUAGCCACGCCCACCCAAUUACAAUAUUGGAAAUACUGAUUACCAGAUAAAGCUUGCUAUGAGCUGGUCUCACUGCUCAGUCUCUCUCUCACACACACUCCCACACACUCUCAGGACUUAUUACGACAAAAUGGACCAGCUACUUCAAUUCAGCACACGCUUUUCAGCAGUGUUUAAGCACUUCGAAAAUAUCCGGUGUCCUCAGGUGAAGAACGUCUGGCUGUACAGAACCCGAGGCAGGAGACGAGCUCUGGAGUCCAUGGCUCUGCUCAUUAUGAUCUCUCUGUGUGUGCUCCUGAUCCUGUAUAUCACCACGCCAGAAAAAUAUGACAAAAUCACAUCACAGAAGAUGGUUCGUGAGGCCCAGCCUCUGGAGAUGACGACUCCUAGGUGUGACAAAACAUGUCAGUCGCUAACAUUGAGGAAUUUUCUACCUUUCCAACUGCUAUGCAGGACUUCCUGUAUUACCGCCACUGCAG